rnacentral:rRNA from 1 species
CCUGAGAAACCCAAAAGAUCGAAUGGGGAGAUUCAUCGUCAGCGAGCCUGGUACGUGUGCGGCUCGCGAUGCCGGGGACUUCGGUUCUUUGGCACGCGUCUGCAUUGUUUUAUUGCCGGGUCUCGUCGGCGUGCACUUCUCCCCUAGUAGGACGUCGCGACCCGUUGGGUGUCGGCCUACGGCUCGGGUGGGAGCCUGUCAUGCGCCACGCUUUACGGCGUCGUCUGGCAGACCCCCGGUUGUCUGGCCGGUUGCUCGGCGGUACUCGCACGGUAUCGGGCCGCAAAUAUUCGAACUGCGUCCGGCCCGCCGCAAGCGAGGUCAGUGUUUCCCGGAUGUACGGACCUAGCGCCGUCACCGGGCCUGGCCAGCUGUUGGUCGGCGGUGUCCUGGGACUGGCUCUUAAUUAAAUUAUGAUACCGGUCGGCGACGCUACUGCUUUGGGUACUUUCAGGA